rnacentral:rRNA from 1 species
UAAUACCAUAUGCGGUGGUGGAGAUAAUGCUUCAUCACCAAAGCCUUAGGGCGCUUAGGGAGGGGCUUGCGUCCGAUUAGCUAGUUGGUAGGGUAACGGUCUACCAAGGCGAUGAUCGGUAGCUGGUUUGAGAGGACAUUCAGCCACACUGGGAUUGAGAUACGGCCCAGACUCCUACGGGAGGCAGCAGCAAGGAAUUUUGUGCAAUGGGCGAAAGCCUGACACAGCGACGCCGUGUGGGGGAUGACGGCCCUCGGGUUGUAAACCCCUUUUCUCAGGGAAGAAUAAUGACGGUACCUGGGGAAUAAGUCGUGGCUAACUACGUGCCAGCAGCCGCGGUAAUACGUAGGCGGCAAGCGUUAUCCGGAUUUAUUGGGCGUAAAGAGGGCGUAGGCGGUUUUUCAAGUCGAUUGUGAAAUCUCCCGGCUUAACUGGGAGAGGCCAGUCGAUACUGUUAGACUAGAGGGCAGCAGGGGGAGGUGGAAUUCCCGGUGUAGUGGUGAAAUGUGUAGAUAUCGGGAGGAACACCAGUGGCGAAGGCGGCCUCCUAGGCUGUUACUAACGCUGAGGCCCGAAAGCGUGGGGAGCAAACAGGAUCAGAUACCCCGGUAGUCCACGCUGUAAACUAUGGACACUAGGUAUAGGGAGUAUCGACCCUCUCUGUGCCGUAGCUAACGCAUUAAGUGUCCCGCCUGGGGAGUACGGCCGCAAGGCUAAAACUCAAAGGAAUUGACGGGGGCCCGCACAAGCAGCGGAGCGUGUGGUUUAAUUCGAUGCAACGCGAAGAACCUUACCAAGGCUUGACAUGUCGGAAGUAGCAACCCGAAAGGGAAGCCACCUGUUAAGUCAGGAGCCGUCACAGGUGCUGCAUGGCUGUCGUCAGCUCGUGCUGUGAAGUGUUAGGUUAAGUCCUAUAACGAGCGCAACCCUCGUUGCCAGUUGUUUUCUCUGGCGAGACUGCC